rnacentral:rRNA from 1 species
UACGUAGGGGGCAAGCGUUGUCCGGAAUCAUUGGGCGUAAAGAGCGUGUAGGCGGUCCGGUAAGUCGGCUGUGAAAGUCCAGGGCUCAACCCUGGGAUGCCGGUCGAUACUGCCGGACUAGAGUUCGGAAGAGGCGAGUGGAAUUCCCGGUGUAGCGGUGAAAUGCGCAGAUAUCGGGAAGAACACCCGUGGCUAAGGCGGCUCUCUAGUACGGUACUGACGCUGAGACGCGAAAGCGUGGGGAGCGAACAGG